AUAUCAUGAUGUGGUUGGUGUAGU
rnacentral:siRNA from 1 species